ACAAAGGCUUAAUGCUAUUUUUGCUUUUUGCCUCUUCCCCCAUACAAGUGAAAAUCCUCGGAUUUCUUUCAGUUUAUGAAAACAGGUACUAAUAUAGGUCGUUGGUGAAAGAGAAGUGGUGUCAAGUGAAUUUUUGAAAAGCGGGAGAUACCUAUAUCCUAUCUGAGAAGACCCACCGAUCGAAUCCAAUAGAAAAGUUGAGGUGUGAACUUAAUUAUAAUCAUUGUCUCUGGAAAACUGUGCAUCACUGACAUUCAAAUUGACUGGUGUCUUUAUAAGAAGAGGAAGAGAUGCCAAGAGGGUGAGCGCACGGAGGAAAGGCC